rnacentral:rRNA from 1 species
GGCGUAAAGGGUAGGUAGGGUGGUAAUACAAGUCUGGGUGAAUCCCUGAGCUCACUCAGGACGUGCUUGGAACUGUAUUACUAGAGUGCUGGAGAGUCCGCAGAAUCCCCGGUGUAGCGGUGAAAUGCGUAGAGAUCGGGAGGAAUACCAGAGGCGAAGGCGGCGGACUGGACAGCAACUGACACUCAACUACGAAAGCGUGGGUAGCAAACAGGAUUAGAUACCCUGGUAGUCCACGCUGUAAACGAUCGGUACUAGAGUUUGAGGGAGUUGACCCCUUCAGACUCGGAGCUAACGCGAUAAGUACCGCGCCUGGGAAGUACGGUCGCAAGACUAAAACUCAAAGGAAUUGACGGGAGCCCGCACAAGCGGUGGAUUAUGUGGUUUAAUUCGAAGCAACGCGCAGAACCUUACCUAGGUUUGACAUCCUUUGACAACCGUAGAGAUACGGCUUUCGUAGCAAUACGACAAAGAGACAGGUGCUGCAUGGCUGUCGUCAGCUCGUGUGGUGGCAUGUCGGGUUAAGUCCCUCAACGAGCGCAACCCCUGUGUUUAGUUGCCAGCAUUAAGUUGGGUACUCUAGACAGACUGCCGUGGUUAACACGGAGGAAGGCGGGGAUGACGUCAAGUCCUCAUGGCCCUUACACCUAGGGCGACACACGUAAUACAAUGGUUGAUACAGAGGGAUGCGAAACGGCGACGUGGAGCAAAUCCCAAAAAGUCAAUCUCAGUUCGGAUUGGAGUCUGCAACUCGACUCCAUGAAGGCGGAAUCGCUGGUAAUCGCGGAUCAGCACCCCCCGGUGAAUACGUUCCCGGGCUUUGCACUCACCGCCCGUCA